rnacentral:rRNA from 1 species
UACGUAGGGUGCAGGCGUUAAUCGGAAUUACUGGGCGUAAAGCGUGCGCAGGCGGUUUGUUAAGACAGAUGUGAAAUCCCCGGGCUUAACCUGGGAAUGGCAUUUGGGACUGCAAGGCUGGAGUGUGGCAGAGGAGACUGGAAUUCCCGGUGUAGCAGUGAAAUGCGUAGAUAUCGGGAGGAAUACCGAUGGCGAAGGCAGGUCUCUGGGCUGACACUGACGCUCAUGCACGAAAGCGUGGGGAGCAAACAGG